CUGGAGCUCCGUGAACGCGUCUUGGCUGUCAGCGAUACUAUUUAGGCCUGUCAAUCAUCUGCGGGCGCAGUGAUUGGCAGGAAAUGAAACACCUGUGUUUUCUGACGCUUUUGUGUAUAACUGGCAGUUGACGGAUGUUGGACGAAUACCGCGUGGAAGUCUGGAUUGAAAACGCGCUCGUUUAGCUGCAGGUGGUGCAAAGAUUAGUUUGUUGUUGUCGUCGUUGUUGUUGUUGAUGGAGAACUGUGCUACGUCUCUGCUGGAGCUAACAAGGGCUAACGUCGGCAGGUCCACGCGAAAAGUGAUGGAAAAUGGACAUUUAGCAACACGUUGACGCACUGAACGUUGCGCUCAGUGCACACGUCAAUGGAAAACACUGCGGCCCUGGACUCAACUUCAGCUGCGAGAGAAAACACGUGCUAAAAGACUCUACUCUGCUGUAUUUACGAGGUGUGGCAGCGCCGAGCCGAGCCAAGCAAAGCCUGUGCUAUCCCUCACACGCUGGAUUGACGCAUGUGUGCCCGUUGCUGUCUCUCUGUAUGCCCAACAGAAGCAGUGACCAUGGUGCCGGUGUAUUGGAGGCUUUGGGUUGUUCCUUUCCACAUACAUGAGAGGGACAAGGCAUAAGGUUAACGAGCACAUUCACAGUGGUUUUACUUUGCUGUGGAUGUCUGUGUUUUCUUCCUGUUUUAGAUAUUGGAGCACUUGGAGUGGUUCCUGUGGUGAACUCAUCUUCCCCCAUUGUACCAGGGAAACACCAUGGCGGUUACAAAUCGUGCAUUCACAAGGCAUCUCAAGACAUCAUCUGUAGGUCGCCUGCAAAUGCACUGCACCUGCUGCCUAGAAAUAAAAAUCAUGCCGCUUCUUUGGAACCCACGGCAGCUGUGCGUGCCUAUGCAGGGAAAGAGUGGUUCAUCAGCUUGAGGAUGGAUUGCCAUGAAGCAUUUCUGGUCCCCAGAGGAGACACUCUGCUGCCUUUAGAGACUCUCUUCACCCACAGUCACCUGAGGUUGAUUUGAGUUAGUGCAUCCAUUGGGGUCACAUAUUAAAAUGACUCUAAUGUUUGGGUGCAUCUUAUCUUCAGCAUUGCCUUCUCCCAGCAUCUCUCAAAGGAAGAGGUGAGAAUUGUAUUAAGCUUUUUACAAUGAAGAUUAUAAUUCAUUAUUAUUACAUCAUUUCCCCCCAUACUGUUAUAUCCAAAGUGUGUAUAAUCAUGAUCAACCUGAUUCUGAGUGUAUUCUUCAGCCAUUAAUUACACCAGGACUCUAGACUCAAACAUUGCAAACAUACACUGACUGAAAAAGGCUGAAUGUCUGUAAAUAAAUGUGAGUUAACACUGUUGACCUGUCAAGUAUCAGCUGCACUGUACAUGUUCUGCUGAGAAAAGGAAAAAGCACAGUGCUUUUCAGAAACACUCUGUCCCUGCACCUGAUGCAUUCUCUUCUAUGCACACUGCAAACCCGUUGAAGGCAGCAGCUUCAGUGAGAGGAGAGUUUCUGGCCUAAAGCUGACACCUCAUACAUGGAGUGCACUUGCAAAUUGUAGGAUUUACUCACUGCCCUGUUUAGCAGUGUGCAGGAGUUGUUUGUAAACUUACUAAUUUACACAUUCCGGGUUCAGGGCCUGAAAGUUCAUCAAGUAAUUCGCCAAGAGCGGAAGCAAAAUGGUUGAAUUUUGCAGAAGAAGAUACAGCAAGUGCUGAUGCAACUCUCACAAGACGAGCCCUACAUCUUACAUCUUGAUACGACUUGCUUCUUUAGCCCCUGGCUUUGGCUGAAAGUUGUUCAUAGUCAUAAAUAUUAAUCAGACAAAUGUAGACCAAAGUAAUUAAACAUACCAUUUCUUAUGCGGUGGUGUUGAACUUAAAUUACUGGAGUCGUAGUAUGUUUUCAUACUGUACCUUUUACCCUUUGCCCAAGUUGCAAGAGCCAAACAAAUGCAUGCACAACCAUCUCACACAGAGACAUCUCACUAUGAGGAAAGAAUUGUCUCCGUAGAAAACCAAAACACGUGAGAGACUCAUUUAACUGACUUUAUUGAGAUCAGAGACAGUGUGUACUUUUCCCUUGUAAGUGCAACUCUUCAGUCUGUGUGCUGAGGUUAAGGAAAGCUGCCAGUCAUAGUGUUUCAUAUCUUGUGUUGAGACGCAUGAUCUUCUCCUUUAACCCUCAGCAAGACAGGAAAUGUAAAACUAUUCUACAAACUACCCCUUUAAUAUUUUAACUCUAUUUGAUUUGUAUGUUUUU